GACUAACGCUGGCGGCAUGCCUAACACAUGCAAGUCGAACGGGCGCAGCAAUGCGUCAGUGGCGGACGGGUGAGUAACGCGUGAGUAAUCUGCCCCAGACAACGAGGAAUAACAGCCAGAAAUGGUUGCUAAUACCACAUAAGACCACGACAGGGCAUCCUGUCGCGGUAAAAGAUUUAUCGGUUUGGGAUGAGCUCGCGUUUCAUUAGCUUGUUGGUGGUGUAAUGGACCACCAAGGCGACGAUGGAUAGCCGGCCGGAGAGGGUGAACGGCCACACUGGAACUGAGAUACGGUCCAGACUCCUACGGGAGGCAGCAGUGGGGAAUAUUGGGCAGUGGGCGCAAGCCUGACCCAGCAAUGCCGCGUGAAUGAAGAAGGUUUUCGGAUUGUAAAGUUCUGUCGCAGGGGAAGAAGAAUGACGGUACCCUGUAAGAAAGCCCCGGCAAACUACGUGCCAGCAGCCGCCGUAAUAC
rnacentral:rRNA from 1 species